GUGGAUUAGAUACCCUGGUAGUCCACGCCGUAAACGAUGAGUACUAAGUGUUGGAGAAAUUCAGUGCUGAAGUUAACAUAUUAAGUACUCCGCCUGAGUAGUACGUUCGCAAGAAUGAAACUUAAAGGAAUUGACGGGACCCCGCACAAGCGGUGGAGCAUGUGGUUUAAUUCGAAGCAACGCGAAAAACCUUACCAGGUCUUGACAUGGCAUUAAAGGCCCUAGAGAUAGGGAGAUAGUUAUAGUGCACACAGGUGGUGCAUGGUUGUCGCCAGCA
rnacentral:rRNA from 1 species